AAUGGAAAUAAGAAAAAUACCCAUUUUCCUAUCUGUGAAUGUCACUGUGUGAGGAUGUGAUACUGAUGGCAGUCAUCUUGUGACUUUAAAGACAAGUUUAUUGCAGGCCAGCUGACAUCACUGAGCUACCAAGUGAAGGUCCCUGGAAAUUACCCUGUGCCCAGACUUCCUAUUAGCAGGAUGCAUCCUAAGUGCUACAAACAUCAUCCCUAGAGGCAUCGAGAUUGUUUGGCUGGGUUGGAGAAGGAGUAACUCUGCAGACUCACAGAGAAGAUGUGGCUUGCCUAAAUUGUAGAAGCCAGACUUGCUGACGGGACUGCUAUACGUUUUUCGCUCUACCAAGCGGUCACAUGGGGUGGGGCUCGUUAAUUUCAAGACCAUCGGCAUUCACUUUCAUUGGAAGGAUUUUCAUUUAGUAUGAUUUUGAGGUUAUUUUAAAUAAAAUAUUUAGCUUGCCCAACCAGGUAAUGGGAAAUCUUUAGCCAGAGGGUUAGAAACUAGAUUCAACCUUGUAAUUUAUCACCUACAACUAUAAAUCAAGCCAAUGUCAGAAAGCUGAGAAAAACAAUAAACAAUGAGACAGCU